rnacentral:rRNA from 1 species
AUGGCAGAACCGACUGACACGCAGAGCCGCGAUUGUAAUUCCCUCCCCGAUGUUCUCUUGGAGCAGAUAUGUAAUCGUAUGGACCUGCUCAGCACCAUCCGUCUGGCCGCAUGCUCGGUGUCUUUCUACCGUCUACUUGUCUGCAACCGGCCGGCUCUUUUCAAGACACCCUGCUUGCUAAUGCCCGAUCCUCACAGGUGGCCCAGACACCGACUUGACGAUCCUACGGAGGUUGCUGUGUACCAUAUAACUGGAAUUAACCGAUGCAAGUCCAAGAAGGAUUGGCCGGUGCUGCCGGCUGGCGUCAAGUUCGAUCCCACGGAUCAGGAGCUGAUCGAGCACCUUGAGGCCAAAGUGACUGCUGACAGCACGAGAUCUCACCCUCUCAUCGAUUUGUUCAUACCAACCAUCGACGGCGAGCACGGCAUAUGCUACACCUAUCCUGAGAAACUUCCAGGUAUCACACUGAGUGGCCUAAGCAAGCAUUUAUUCCAGCGCAAUUCCAGGGCGUUCAAAAGGGGCACGUGGACGCAUCGCAAGAUACAAUCGGAGUGCGGCAUGCACGCGAUGUGGCACAAGACCGGCAAUACCUUGCCAGUGGUGGUCAACAGCCGGCAGACGGGCAUCAAAAAGGUUCUGGUGCUACACACCAACAAGAAUUUUGACCAGCAGAGGACCAAAUGGGUGAUGCACUAG